rnacentral:lncRNA from 1 species
CUAACAAUCUUAAUUCUUCUAACUAAUGAUCUAUUUUAUUUCUAUUUUCAAAUAACCAAAUUUUGUUUCAUUAAACUUUUGUAUUUUUAUUUCAAUUUCAUUUAGUUCUGCUGUAAUCUUUCUUUUCUUCUCCUGGCUUUAAGUUUGAUUUGUUGUUUCUAUAGUUUCUUGAGGUAUGACAUUAUGUUGCGAAUUUGUAAUCUUUCAGACUUUUUUACGUAGGUGUUCAGUGCUAGAAACUUUCCUUUUAGCAUUGCUUUUGCUAUGUCCCAGAGGUUUUGAUAACUUGUGUCACUAUAAUCAUCCAUUUAAAGAAUUUUUUAAUUUCUUUCUUCAUUUCAUUGUUAACCCAGUAAUCAUUAAGAAGCAGAUUGUUCAAUUUCCAGGAUCUUGAGAUGACGUCAUACUGGAUGAUCCUAGUGCACCCUAAAUCCAAUAAGUGUUCUUAUGAAAGACAGAAGAGGAGAAGAUACAGGAAAUAGAAGAAGGCUACUUGAGGAUGGAAGCAGAGAUUGGAGUUAUGCAGCUACAAACCAAAGAAUGCCUUGAGCCACCAGCAGCUGAAAGAGCUAGUCAGCAAUACAACUGGGAUUUGAUAUCAGAUUCAUACGAUUCCGAAGACCCUGACCACCAAAUGCAAAAGGUACAUGGCAACAGCUGAUUGCAAUGAGAGAAAAACAACUAAUAAGGCAACAAGCAGGAUACUAAGAUAUUUUCCAAAAUGAAUAGCACUGAUUCUGUGAGGAAUGAACAUUGCCAAACAAGUGUUUUGUUUUGUUUUUCAACUCCUCUAAAAAAAUUCACAUAUAUGCAUGCCACUUUCCUGAAAAAUAUCUGCCUCAUAAUUGCCAUAAGAAACGGUAUGGACAACUCUUAAACAUUCUGAAAGUAGUCAGGGAUGGGGGAAAGCAUUUGCUGUUUUAGUCUGUUCCUGGUCUUAUAACAAAUACCACAAACUGGGUAAUUUAUGAUUACAGAAAUGUAUUUCUGAAAGUUCAGGAGUUGGGAAGUUCAAGAUUAUGGCACCAACAUAUUCAUUGUCUGAUGAGGGCCUGUUUCACAGAUGUCAUUUUGCAUGACUUAAUCACAUGGUAGGAAAAGCAAAGGGACAAAAUGGACAAAUGCCAUGUUGUCACAUGGCAGAAGAAAUGGAAGAGCCAGGAAGCUCUCAGAAGCUUCCUUAAUUAGGAUAUUAAUCUCAUUCAUGAGUGCAUAGCCAUCAUGACUUAAUUGCCUCCAAAGGCCCCACUUCCUCAUCACUUUGAGGAUUAAACUUAAACAUGAAUUUGGAGGAAAUAUAUCCAAACUCUAGGACUAGUUUAAAUGUAGCUAAAAAGGUUUCUUCAUUCUGUAAUCGUUAAUAUGCUAAUAUUUUUGUAAAUAUCCAAGAGGAAGCUAAAGCAUAUAAUAUUCCAAAAUUUAUUUCUGUUUGUGGAUAUUAUGUUUUCCUCUCAUUCUAUCUUAAGAAAUUAGUGUCCUCAAGAAACACUAUAUAGGAUAAUUGUCUUUCAAGUUCAUCAACUACCAGUUCUUGAUUCUUCAGUAGCUAAUCCUAGAUAGUAAUACUUAACAGAUUAUAAAAACUUGGGUGCUGCUAUAUAAAUGCGCUGAAACUCCCAGGGAACCAAACAUAAGGACUUAAAGAGAGAUGUAACUAGGGAUCAUAAUCAUGAAUUUCAGCUGCUUCUCUAUCUUUGUCAGUGAGCAAAUGACCAUACAAAAUAAGGUAUUCAAUUAUUAAUUCUGUGCCCAUAUCCCGGAAUUUUGCCCAAUAUAUUUGUAAGUUUAGAUAAAUAAGGCACUAAUGCCAGGGAUAUGUAGCAUUAGUUCUGGGUUUAUAAAGGGAUAUUCACAACCUCUUGCCAUCCACAGAAUUUAUCAGCCCAAAGUAAACUAUACUCGUUGGUUAAGGGCAACCUGAGACAUGUUUAAAACUGAGGUGGACUGAAGAGUCAACUAAUUGCAGGAAUCUUUUAUUUGGUUGAAAUGUUCAAACAAGUCCCACUCUGAAUUCUAUUAGAAGUCCAUCAUUGGCUUCUCUCUCUUUCUCACUGUCUUAAAUCAUGUAUUUUAUAACACUAUGAAGAAUGAAGUUCAAAAGAAUAAGCUAAAUUUAAUUAAUUAAAUUAUUUAUUUAUUUAUUUUGAGACAGAGUCUCACUCUGUCACCCAGGCCAGAGUUCAG